CGGAGUAACGCGUGAGUAACCUGCCCAUAAGAGGGGGGAUAAUCCAUGGAAACGUGGACUAAUACCGCAUAUUGUAGUUAAGUUGCAUGACUUGAUUAUGAAAGAUUUAUCGCUUAUGGAUGGACUCGCGUCAGAUUAGAUAGUUGGUGAGGUAACGGCUCACCAAGUCAACGAUCUGUAGCCGAACUGAGAGGUUGAUCGGCCGCAUUGGGACUGAGACACGGCCCAGACUCCUACGGGAGGCAGCAUG
rnacentral:rRNA from 1 species